GCUAACAGAGGUUUUCUAGAUGCCAUUGGCCAUCCUCCAGUGAAGGAAGGAGACCCUUGAGAUGUCAGACCCUGAAGACUGGUGGUGGGUUCCUGAGGACUGUGGAUCUGACAGCGAUAUCCCUCCUUGGUGCUGGGAGCUAAAGGGAUUAAAUCAAAGCUCACCCAUCCCCUGAGUAAUCCGACCUCCAUUCAGCUCAGUAGCAGCACAGAAGUUGUAAUCCUAAACUCAGAAAGUGAGCUGGAAAUUGAACCUUCUCAGACAGAUGAUUGAGAGUGGGGGUACUCUGCAAUAUAUCAAAAGGAGAUCUUCUCCCCUGCCAGCUACCUGACUUCUCUGCCUUCUCCUUCCUACACAGCCUCUGUACAUGUAAAGCAGAUUCAGAAAGCAAACCGUGAAAGAACUUGACUUUGUGAGGUGCAGGUGCCCAUAAGACAAAUUCCUUCCAUGAAGAAUAAAGCCUGGUGAAGACUGCACGUCUCCACCACGGCCAGAGCUGGAGACCACGGCGGGAAGGGCUGCGGGAGCCAGGUCACCCCCCACCCCAGGGGGAGCCCUUUGUGUGCAGGGUGGAGGAAGUAUUUUGAAGACCCCAGGAUGAAAAUUCUG